UACGUAGGGUGCAAGCGUUGUCCGGAAUUAUUGGGCGUAAAGAGCGUGUAGGCGGCUAGGUAGGUCCGUUGUGAAAACUCGAGGCUCAACCUCGAGACGCCGAUGGAAACCAUCUAGCUAGAGUCCGGAAGAGGAGAGUGGAAUUCCUGGUGUAGCGGUGAAAUGCGCAGAUAUCAGGAAGAACACCCGUGGCUAAGGCGGCUCUCUAGUACGGUACUGACACUGAGGGACGAAAGCUAGGGGAGCGAAUGGG
rnacentral:rRNA from 1 species